rnacentral:rRNA from 1 species
GAUGAACGCUGGCGGCGUGCCUAAUACAUGCAAGUCGAGCGAACAGACGAGGAGCUUGCUCCUCUGACGUUAGCGGCGGACGGGUGAGUAACACGUGGAUAACCUACCUAUAAGACUGGGAUAACUUCGGGAAACCGGAGCUAAUACCGGAUAAUAUAUUGAACCGCAUGGUUCAAUAGUGAAAGACGGUUUUGCUGUCACUUAUAGAUGGAUCCGCGCCGCAUUAGCUAGUUGGUAAGGUAACGGCUUACCAAGGCAACGAUGCGUAGCCGACCUGAGAGGGGGAUCGGCCAGACGGGAACUGAGACACGGUCCAGACGCCUACGGGAGGCAGCAGUAGGGAAUCUUCCGCAAUGGGCGAAAGCUUGACGGAGCAACGCCGCGUGAGUGAUGAAGGUCUUCGGAUCGUAAAACUCUGUUAUUAGGGAAGAACAAAUGUGUAAGUAACUAUGCACGUCUUGACGGUACCUAAUCAGAAAGCCACGGCUAACUACGUG